rnacentral:rRNA from 1 species
AACGUAGGAGACAAGCGUUAUCCGGAGUUACUGGGCGUAAAGGGCGUGUAGGUGGUUGCGUAAGUCUGGCGUGAAAUUUUUCGGCUUAACCGGGAAAGGUCGUCGGAUACUGCGUAGCUAGAGGACGGUAGAGGCGUGUGGAAUUCCGGGUGUAGUGGUGAAAUGCGUAGAGAUCCGGAGGAACACCAGUGGCGAAGGCGACACGCUGGGCCGUACCUGACACUGAUGCGCGACAGCAUGGGGAGCAAACAGG